rnacentral:rRNA from 1 species
AUUGAACGCUGGCGGCAGGCUUAACACAUGCAAGUCGAGCGGAGAUGAGGUGCUUGCACCUUAUCUUAGCGGCGGACGGGUGAGCAAUGCUUAGGAAUCUGCCUAUUAGUGGGGGACAACAUUCUGAAAGGAAUGCUAAUACCGCAUACGUCCUACGGGAGAAAGCAGGGGAUCUUCGGACCUUGCGCUAAUAGAUGAGCCUAAGUCGGAUUAGCUAGUUGGUGGGGUAAAGGCCUACCAAGGCGACGAUCUGUAGCGGGUCUGAGAGGAUGAGCCGCCACACUGGGACGGAGACACGGCCCAGACUCCUACGGGAGGCAGCAGUGGGGAAUAUUGGACAAUGGGGGGAACCCUGAUCCAGCCAUGCCGCGUGUGUGAAGAAGGCCUUAUGGUUGUAAAGCACUUUAAGCGAGGAGGAGGCUACUGAGACUAAUACUCUUGGAUAGUGGACGUUACUCGCAGAAUAAGCACCGGCUAACUCUGUGCCAGCCGCCGCAGUAACAC